rnacentral:rRNA from 1 species
AUUGAACGCUGGCGGCAGGCCUAACACAUGCAAGUCGAGCGGCGCGGCGGUCGGGUGCGUAAUGCCUAGGACUCUGCCUGGUAGUGGGGGAUGACGUUCGGAAAUGGGCGCUAAUACCACAUACUAUCAGCAGAGCCUAGGUCGGAUUAGCUAGUUGGUGGGGUAAAGGCCUACCAAGGCGACGAUCCGGAACUGGUCUGAGAGGAUGAUCAGUCACACUGGAACUGAGACACGGUCCAGACUCCUACGGGAGGCAGCAGUGGGGAAUAUUGGACAAUGGGCGAAAGCCUGAUCCAGCCAUGCCGCGUGUGUGAAGAAGGUCUUCGGAUUGUAAAGCACUUUAAGUUGGGAGGCGUUACCAACAGAAUAAGCACCGGCUAACUUCGUGCCAGCAGCCGCGGUAAUUC